rnacentral:rRNA from 1 species
UACGUAGGGUGCGAGCGUUAAUCGGAAUUACUGGGCGUAAAGCGUGCGCAGGCGGUUUUGUAAGCCAGAUGUGAAAUCCCCCGGGCUUAACCUGGGAAUGGCAUUUGGGACUGCAAGGCUUGAGUGCGGCAGAGGAGACUGGAAUUCCUGGUGUAGCAGUGAAAUUCGUAGAUAUCAGGUGGAACACCAGUGGCGAAGGCGGCUUUCUGGACGGUAACUGACGCUGAGACGCGAAAGCGUGGGGGAGCAAACAGG